GACGAACGCUGGCGGCGUGCUUAACACAUGCAAGUCGAACGGUAAGGCCCUUCGGGGUACACGAGUGGCGAACGGGUGAGUAACACGUGGGUGAUCUGCCCUGCACUUCGGGAUAAGCCUGGGAAACUGGGUCUAAUACCGGAUAGGACCACUGCCUGCAUGGGUGGUGGUGGAAAGCUUUUGCGGUGUGGGAUGGGCCCGCGGCCUAUCAGCUUGUUGGUGGGGUGAUGGCCUACCAAGGCGACGACGGGUAGCCGGCCUGAGAGGGUGACCGGCCACACUGGGACUGAGAUACGGCCCAGACUCCUACGGGAGGCAGCAGUGGGGAAUAUUACACAAUGGGCGAAAGCCUGAUGCGGCGACGCCGCGUGAGGGAUGAAGGUCUUCGGAUUGUAAACCUCUUUCAGUAGGGACGAAGCGAAAGUGACGGUACCUAAAGAAGAAGCACCGGCUAACUACGUGCCAGCCGCCGCAGUAA
rnacentral:rRNA from 1 species